GAUGAAGAACGCAGCGAAAUGCGAUAAGUAGUGUGAAUUGCAGAAUUCAGUGAAUCAUCGAAUCUUUGAACGCACAUUGCGCCCUGUGGUAUUCCGAGGGGCAUGCCUGUUCGAGCGUCAUUAUAACCCCUCAAGCUCAGCUUGGUGUUGGGGCCUGCUGCACUGGCAGCCCUUAAAAUCAGUGGCGGCGCCAUCUGGCUCUAAGCGUAGUAAUUCUUCUCGCUAUGGAGUCCUGGUGGAUGCUUGCCAUCAACCCCCAAUUUUUCUAUGGUUGACCUCGGAUCAGGUAGGGAUACCCGCUGAACUUAAGCAUAUCAAUAAGCGGAGGA
rnacentral:misc_RNA from 1 species